UAUCUGGUAUCCUUGAAAGAACUGAAAUGACUCUAGAUUCAUGGAAAAAAGUAUCAGAAAGUUUAUGCUCACGCAUUGCUAGUGAUCCGCAAACAAGGUGCAUGGAGAUCCUAGAGCUAAGCUACAAGCAUUUGCCUGACUAUUUGAAGCCGUGCUUUCUCUAUCUUGGAGCAUUUCUUGAGAACAAAGAAAUUCCAGUCCGAAAGUUGACAUGGUUAUGGGUUGCUGAAGGAUUUGUACGAAGUACGGCGUCAAAACGUGUGGAAGAUCUUGCAGAAGAAUAUUUGAAGGACCUCAUUGGCAGAAGCCUAGUAAUAGCUUCGAAAAGCAGAUCCAAUGGUGGAGUUAAAACAUGUUGUGUUCAUGACCUGCUGCGUACUUUAUGCUUGCUGAGAUGUCAGGAAGAAAAUUUUCUGCAUUUAGUAACUGGAUAUAAUUUCCCUUUUGAUGCUUCUUAUGAUGAUUCAGAUUAUGGUGUUGAUCCAGAUUAUCAUCCUACAAAUUGCACAACAUAUGCAAAACGGAGGUUAUCCAUUUGUUCUAAGAGAAAUCAUUUCAUCAUGUCAAGGCCUGGUGGACGUGUCCGCUCUCUACUAUACUCUGCCAGCAGUGAUUUGUAUCCAAGAUGUCCCUACAACAUCUCCUUCAUUUUCGAGAACUUCAAACUUCUCAGAGUGCUGGAUUUGGAAUGCAUCAAUGUGGGUAAUUCUUUCUUCAGUGGAAUAGAGUUAUUGGCUCAUUUGAGGUACUUGGCCCUUUGUGGUGAUAUAGACUAUAUUCCAGCUUCAAUAGCCAACCUCUGGAAUCUGGAAACCUUGAUGAGAAAUUUCUAAGUUUGUGAUGGAUUUUAAAAAAAUUCUACAAAAGGGGUGAUUGUGGCGAGGAAUUCUGUCGGGGGGUCUUCGCAUUCGUGAAAUGCGAGCUCAGGAGAGUUCGCAUUUCACGAAUGCGAGCUCUCAACAGAGCUCGCAUUCCUGAAAUGCGAGCUCAACAGAGCUCGCAUUACAGAGAUGCAAAUUUUUUUUCUUUUUUUUUUGGAGGCAGAGAUUUAUAUUUUUGUACUAAAACAAAAUGUUUUAAGAUGUCACAUGCGCGUUUGCAUUCCUUAAAAAAAAUUUAUGAAAUACGUUAUUUUAUUAUAAUACAUUUUGGUGGAAAUAAAUUAGAUCAAUGUAAAAAUAGAAUGAAAUUAUUAACAUGUAAGGUGUUGACUAUAUUUUAUGAAUAAAAUACUAACUUUUGAUCCUUUUUUGUGAAAUAAAUUUAUUUAUCAAAUUCUAAUUUUCCUUUGUUAUUAAUGAAUCGUAUUUAUUUGUUGACAACGAUGAAUAUUAGUUAUAAGAAUCUAAUAAUUAAUAGUCAUUAAUAUCUGUUACAAUUUUUUUAUUGUAAUUUUAGAAAUUCCAUAACGCAAUGCUAAUUAAAAAUUAUAUAAGUUAUUUUUAUGAGGUGCAUGUUAUUUGUUUGGUAGUUGAAAAGGAAAAGAAAUCAAAUAUCUAACGAUUAAAUCUUGCGUGUUUUACCUUUUACAAUUGAUGCGAAUGUAGAUAUUUUUAGAUAAAAAUCACCGGUUACACAACAUUUGACAUACUGAAAUUGAAAUGGGGUCUUGGCGCUGGGUAGUGGGAGCUCACUGAGCUCGCAUUGUGAAAAUGCGAGCUCACUGAGCUCGCAUUCUCAAAAUGCGAAGACCCCCCAUUUACAGAAACUCCCCCAGGAAACGCCCUCGUUGUAGAAUUCUUUUUUUUUUUCAUCACAAACUAAGAAUUCACCCAAACCUUGAUUGUGAAAGGACUAAAAGGUAAAGUCCUACUGCCACAUACUAUUUG
rnacentral:lncRNA from 1 species